rnacentral:rRNA from 1 species
AGUGGGAGCACCCUUUGGGGUGUGACUGCGUACCUUUUGUAUAAUGGGUCAGCGACUUAUAUUCUGUAGCAAGGUUAACCGUAUAGGGGAGCCGGAGGGAAACCGAGUCUUAACCGGGCGUUAAGUUGCAGGGUAUAGACCCGAAACCCGGUGAUCUAGCCAUGGGCAGGUUGAAGGUUGGGUAACACUAACUGGAGGACCGAACCGACUAAUGUUGAAAAAUUAGCGGAUGACCUGUGGCUGGGGGUGAAAGGCCAAUCAAACCGGGAGAUAGCUGGUUCUCCCCGAAAGCUAUUUAGGUAGCGCCUCGUGAAUUCAUCUCCGGGGGUAGAGCACUGUUUCGGCUAGGGGGCCAUCCCGGCUUACCAACCCGAUGCAAACUGCGAAUACCGGAGAAUGUUAUCACGGGAGACACACGGCGGGUGCUAACGUCCGUCGUGAAGAGGGAAACAACCCAGACCGCCAGCUAAGGUCCCAAAGUCAUGGUUAAGUGGGAAACGAUGUGGGAAGGCCCAGACAGCCAGGAUGUUGGCUUAGAAGCAGCCAUCAUUUAAAGAAAGCGUAAUAGCUCACUGGUCGAGUCGGCCUGCGCGGAAGAUGUAACGGGGCUAAACCAUGCACCGAAGCUGCGGCAGCGACGCUGAUGCGUUGUUGGGUAGGGGAGCGUUCUGUAAGCCUGCGAAGGUGGCCUGUGAGGGUUGCUGGAGGUAUCAGAAGUGCGAAUGCUGACAUAAGUAACGAUAAAGCGGGUGAAAAGCCCGCUCGCCGGAAGACCAAGGGUUCCUGUCCAACGUUAAUCGGGGCAGGGUGAGUCGACCCCUAAGGCGAGGCCGAAAGGCGUAGUCGAUGGGAAACGGGUUAAUAUUCCCGUACUUGGUGUUACUGCGAAGGGGGGACGGAGAAGGCUAUGUUGGCCGGGCGACGGUU